GGGGGAAAGAGACGAGCAUAGGUUCCUCCCAAGAUGCCACCCGCUUCAUUCAAGUGCCUGGCAGCACUGUGUUCCUGUUAGAGCCACCAGCACAAGCACCAGACGAUGCUGAUCCAGGUGAAGGCCCCAGUGCAGCAGCAACAGCACAUGAUGGAGACGAUGAUGAGGAGGAGACCAUCUCUCUGGAUUCCAGAAGGCAUGAGGACCCAGAUGCUAUACAGUGGGAAAACCAGCCUGGCAACAUAGUGCGUAUUAAUAAAAGGACACCACAUCCUGCCAAAUUCCAGCUGCGCUAAUUGUAUUGUGUUCACAGAGCUCACAAGCUAUCAGAAAGUUGUAUGGCAACCACCUCCGGCGCCAAAUAGAACUGGCAGACAUAGACAUUCAGUACAAGAAGAAAAAGAUGGAAAAUCUUGCACUGGAGUCCGAAAUAAAAAAGAGGACAAUUAGGAAACUGGACCUUGAAAUAAAAAAACUUGAGAGGGAGCUCCAAGAAGAUGACACAGCUCAAAAUAAAAAUUAGGUAUAUUCUCGUAAAGUCAAGUGAGCCAUGACAUAUGAGCUCUUAUUGUGAGCACACAGGACGGUGGCAUCUUUCUAAGGUUUUUUUUAUUUUCCCAGCAAUCAGUACAACCAAGUCAUCGUUAUAAGGCAUCGCCCUCUUUUGCCCACCCCCAGCACCAGGUGUGGCCACUAGCCUAUAUGAAGGCCCAAAAUUGUGUGUUCCUUUCUGCUCUGACAAUGGCAUGCCCAUUCGUGCGAGAUGUGGUGGAUGAAGAAGCACUUGUGCUGAGGAGAGCCUUCAGGCGAGAAAGGGUCUUCAGGGACCGGUUGGACCCACUGGCCUUCCCUGAUGACCAUCUAUAUGAAAGAUACAGGUUUUCUGCAGAUGGCAUCAGGUAUCUAUGCAGACUACUGGGUCCCAGGAUUAAGCACCGCACUGCACGGAGCCAUGCACUGAGUGUGGAGCAAAUGGUUUGUGUGGCCUUGCGCUUUUUUGCUAGUGGAGCCUUCCUGUACUCAGUGGGGGAUGCAGAACAGCUGAACAAGGCCACAAUUUGCCGCACAAUAAGGAGUGUGUGUCUGGCUAUCAAAGCAUUAGCAGAUGUCUUCAUCUCCUUCCCUGGCCACAGAAGACUCUGUGACAUCAAAGAGGAGUUCUAUAGGAUUGCAGGUUUCCCCAAUGUCAUUGGUGCAGUGGACUGCACACACAUAAGGAUAAAAGCCCCCUCAGGUGCCCAUGAGGCCGAUUUUGUGAAUAGGAAAUCCUUUCACAGCAUUAAU